GCUGAGGGGAGCCCAGGGAAGAACACAGAAUUAUAGAUGGUAUUAGGAGGGCUCUGGUGUAUUUUGAAGGACAUUUUGAAAGCCAUGGCAGUGAUAGGAUGAGAUUUUGCUCUGCAAAAGUGUGCAGGCGUCCUGCUGCAAGGCGUAUUGACAGCACACAUGCAGCACCACCAUACCACUGCCCAGAGAUAUCGAUUUGUUGUGCCCACUGCUUGUAAGGCCCUUAGAAACCAAGCAAGCUACAGUGAAUGUUGCUGAACAUCCAUUUCCCAAGGCUAUUGAAAUGGGAUUUUUUUUUUUUUUGGUGACUGGCCAAUGAAUAGAACAAUCCUGACGGAAGAAAACCAGCCAAUUCCUGGCUUCUGUGUCAGGGCUGAAUAAAGAGGAUCAGCUCACACAGUAGGCAAAAAGGAUACAACAUACUUGUGAUAAAAUGGUUGCCUUUUAUUCCUUUUUCUAUUAACUUCCAUGUUUUCAGUUUUUCUUCCUUCAAAAAAUUAUUUUAAAGCCUUGUAUAACAUUGAGGUCAAACUAAUGGCUCUGUAGUUGCCCAGAACAUCUUGUUCUCUCCCUGCUUUUCUUACUUAACUGUGGAGACCAAAUCCUAUUUUCCAGUUACAUGAACUACCCAUGACUGAAUGAAUGCAUCAUUGCUGCUGGACUAGCCAAUUCACAUGCUUCUUUUUCCAGAUUUUGGGGACAGAGACUAUCUGUCCCCAAGCCUCCCUUCCUCCUCCUAUGUGGUCGUUCCCUUUUCUAUAGCUUCAUCCUCAUUUGCUUUCACUUGCAAAUUCACCCAUGCCCUUAAUCAAAAUAAGGGUGGUGCUUUCAUGAGCAGCUGAGCCACUCCACCACCAGCUGCAAGGGGAAGAUCCUGCCUCUCUCCUCUCUUGCAUGUUCCCACUCAUCCCUUGCACCAACUUGGGUACUUGCAGAGCAGUUUCCUGAGCUGAAUCAACAUGCUAAAAUGGCAGCCCCAUGGUUUGCUGGGGUGGUUUUCUGGAGACUGGAGAAGCAAGCCUGACCAAGGAGAGAGCAGGCUGCUGGAGCCGAGCAGGAGGUGCAGAGUCAUCGGAGCUCUUCAGGGUGGUAAAAGGGGUGAAGAAAAUGCACUCUCAUACAGGCAGACCUCCUUCACACUUUCCCACCUCCCUCAGACCUCCUUCACACUUCCCCACCUCCUUCUCCCACUGAGAAGAGAGCGAGCGAGCCCCAAGCUUUGGCUGUAUCCAGGAGAAUGGGAAGUCUGGUAGACAUCCACUAAGAUGGGAGACCUCAAGGACUUAGGGAUGCCAUGGACUCCUUCCAAAGGAAAGGAAAGCCAAUGCAUGUUCCCCCAGGGAAUCUCGUGCUUUGCAUCCAGAUGUGGUCUCUGGAGCAGUUCUCCAAGAAGUAUCAUGGAUGCUUGGAGGGAACUGGGUCAUAGGUUUCUUACUGAGGAUUGAAGGAAGCCUCACUCAUUGGUUUUCUCCUUUUUUUUCUUUUGUCCAUUCCUUUUCUUUUAAUGUUCAUCUUCCUUCUUUGGGUAUAAUAUGUUCAUUUCAGCAAUACAGAAAUUGGACUCAUGAUUUCAAAAACCAUUUUUUUUUUUUUUUCCAAAAGUUGCUUUUAGUUCAGAGGUAGAAUGAAAAUUAAACCUUCUGAAACUCCCCACAAGAAAAUAUUAUUUUCCUCUGCUCAGUCCUGUGACAAUUCUUGGUUUGGGAACAGUUUGAGGGAAGACUUGAUAGGAUCCAAAACCCUUUCUGCUUCAGACACAUGCAGUGGCUCCUGAAGGCUGAUCUGGCUCUGACUCCAUGUGAAAUUCAGGAACACCAUGAUGCUGUAAUUUCUGGCCCUGGGAGGCCCAGAACCCUGCCAAGCUAACAGAUGAGGACAGUGGGCAAGAGUUGAACCCUGCAUGGCAAGUGCAGCUCCAUCAGGAGCAUGGCCUGACGCUGGUGAAGUCCUCCUGAAACUCAGCUGCCUCCAUGGAACACUUUUAUAUAGGUGACUCAGCAACGUCAGGGGCAAUAGAUGUUUUGUCAUGAUCAGAUAUUAAAUAAUUUCUCAUUUGCACAAGACUGGAGGCAGUUAAAACCCUGCACACAGUAAAGGACUUGCUUUCUGUACUACUUGGUAGCAAUUCUAUGCACUGAGCAUAGAUCCCCAGGCUCUAGGAGGGUGGCAGGUCCCCAGGGGGAUUGCUGCAGGUGGGUUAUGCAAAAAAGGCCUCAUGCAUUAUUUCAGACCAUGGUUGUCCUCAGAGAGUUGAUGGCAAGGAAGUAAGAUCUGUUGCCGUUGUAGUUUGAAGCCAGUAUUUACUCAAACCUGGUGCAAAGUCUGUUAGUUAGGCUGAGGAUGUAUGACCUCGGUGGCUUUCACUAAGGUAAAGGUUUUCUUUUUCUUAGGUAAUUCCUGUAUCUCUUUUAAAAGAUCAUUGACAGAAAUGAAUACCCACCUGUUAAAAGAAACAUAAUGUUUAACCAGCAGAAAAAUAAAGGUGGAACCCUCCAUUCCUUUUUGUAAAGA
rnacentral:lncRNA from 1 species